AUGACAUCACCUCAUGUCACUGUGUGGGGCGCUCACACAGAUGGCAGGAAGGUGGCCUGCUGGUUGUUGGACAGAGAACAAAAGAGCAGCAAUUUCCAUCAAAGAGAGCAGAAGAAAUGCUUCCAGAAUCCAAAGAAGGCCAGCGUUACACGUCACUGCAUAACUAUAAAGGGCUGGGAAGAAACAACAGUCAAAAUGCCAACUUAGGGUCCAUUUAUAAGGACUGGAAACUUGCUCUGAGCAGCCUUUGGCCUAACGGAGACAGACGUGAAGCUGUAAACAGCCUCAAACACCUCCAGGAUCUCUAAGCAUCCUUCAAGCAAGAGGCUGCUGGGCCCACAUGGAUCUUUAUAGCCACAUCUGCCAGGUAACAUAAAAGUGUUUAUAAAAUCAUUUUAAAGAAUGGCACUACCAGCAGAAUCCUGUUAUUAGCAGAGAUAAAUUUGACAUGAAUUCGGAUUCACAAAGGGUUAAUGCAUAUUCUGUCCAUAUUUAAGAAAACCUAACAAUCACUUAUUUUUGAGAGAAAGAGAAUGCAGACGUGCAUGCGUGGGUGGAGAAGGGCAGAGGGAGAGAGAAAUCCUCAAGCCAACACCAUGCUGCGUGCAGAGCAUGAUGCCAGACCCAAUCCCAGGCCCUGAGAUCAUAACCUGAGCCGAAAUCAAAGAGUCGGAUGUUUAACCAACUGAGCCACCAGUUUCUGUUACUUGAUUGUGAGGAUAACAGGUGCAAAGCACUUAAGUGAUCUAUUCAAAGCCCUGAACCAAAUCGGCCCUUGAAGUAUGAGCAGACCCCGCCGCUUCUGAGUUCUGUGACCCCAGAGCCAGCUACCCGUGUCUCAGAAAAAGAAAGUCCCUCAAGCAUGAGUGGAAAAAGAAGAGCUGGAUGAGAAGUGAAUGCCUGUGUGCCUCUGACCUGAUGA